UACGGGGGGGGCAAGCGUUGUUCGGAUUUACUGGGCGUAAAGGGCUCGUAGGCGGCCAACUAAGUCAGACGUGAAAUCCCUCGGCUUAACCGGGGAACUGCGUCUGAUACUGGAUGGCUAGAGGUUGGGAGAGGGAUGCGGAAUUCCAGGUGUAGCGGUGAAAUGCGUAGAUAUCUGGAGGAACACCGGUGGCGAAGGCGGCAUCCUGGACCAAUUCUGACGCUGAGGAGCGAAAGCCAGGGGAGCAAACGGG
rnacentral:rRNA from 1 species